UGGAGACACACACGGUAGAUACA
rnacentral:misc_RNA from 1 species